UAGGUUAUAUACACAGAGUACCAGUACUGAUCCAUGAUAACUAGGUUAUAUACACAGGGUACUAAACUUUAUGGUGUUGGAGUCGUGUUUGGCCACGCAGUCGUGGGUGAACAGGGAGUACAGGAGGGGGCUAAGCACACACCCCUGAGGGGCCCCAGUGUUGAGGAUCAGCAUGGCGGAUGUGUUGUUGCCUACCCUCACCACCUGAGGGCGGCCCGUCAGGAAGUCCAGGAUCCAGUUGCAGAGGGAUGUGUUUAGUCCCAGGAUCCUUAGCUUAGUGAUGAGCUCGGAUGGCGCUGUAGUGAACAGCAUUCUCACAUAAGUGUUCCUUUUGUCCAGGUGGGAAAGGGCAGUGUGGAGUGCAAUAGAGAUUGUCUCAUCUGUGAGUCCGUUUUUUUUUUUUUUUACAUACAUAUAUAUUUUUUAACACCUUUAUUGAACUAGGCAAGUCAGUUAAGAACAAAUUCUUAUUUUCAAUGACGGCCUAGGAACAGUGGGUUAACUGCCUUGUUCAGGGCCCGGGGAACAGUGGGUUAACUGCCUUGUUCAGGGGCAGAACGACAGAUUUUUACCUCGUCAGUUCGGGGAUUUGAUCCAGCAACCCUUUCGGUUACUGGCCCAACGCUCUAACCACUGGGCUACCUGCCACCCCAUCUGUUGGGGCGGUUUGCGAAUUGGAGUGGGUUGAAGGUGUCUGGGAUUAUGAUGUUGAUGUGAGCCAUGACCAGCAUUUCAAAGCAUUUCAUGUGAGAACUACGGGUCGAUAGCCAUUUUGACAGGUUACCUUAGUGUUCUUGGGCACAGGGACUAUAGUGGUCUGCUUAAAACAUGUAGGUAUUACAGACUCGGACAGGGAGAGGUUGAAAAUGUCAGUGAAGACACUUGCUGGCUGGCGCAUACUCUGAGUACACGUCCUGGUUAUCCAUCUGGACCCCCUGAGGCCUUGUGAACAUUGACCGGUUUUACUCACAUCGUCAACGGAGAGCGUGUGUUAGUUUGCAAACCCUGACACAUGCGACAAACAUCAGAGCCGAUGUCGUAGGAUUCGAUCUUUAGCCUUGUAUUGACGCUUUGCCUGUUUGCUGGUUAGUCAAGAGGGCGUAGCAGGAACUAUCUUGGUAAAUGAUAUGGUCUUCAGAUGAUCUAACUCAGGUGAGCAGGACAUCCUAAAUAUUAGAGAUCGCACACGAGCUGUUGAGAAAAAGACACACACCUCCCCCAUUGAGCUUACCCUCGCUGCCGUUCUAUCCUGCCGAUGUAUAGAAAAACCAACUAGACGCAUAUUUUAUCCAUGUCCUCGUUCAGCCGCGACUCUGUGAAACAUAUGAUAUUACAGUUCUUCAGGUCCCGUUGAUAGGAUAGUCUCAAACGGAGCUCCAUCCAGUUUAUUCUCCAGUGAUUGUUACGUUUCGCCAAUAGAACGGAGGGCAGAGGCGGGUUAUGUACUCGCCCGACGUAAUUUCGUCAGGGUACCCUCACGUCAGCCUCUCUCUCUCUCUCUCUUACGUUGCCCUUUUUCGUGUCUCUGGGAUUAGGGCCUGGUCCGAGGUGAGCAGUACGUUGCCCUUUUUCGUGUCUCUGGGAUUAGGGCCUGGUCCGAGGUGAGCAGUACGACCUGCGCAUCCCGAUUCGUUGAAGUAGAAUUCUACUUCCAAAUGGGAGGUUAGUGAUCCCUGUUCUGAUGUCCAGAAUCUAUUUUCGGUCUUUACAGUCACAGGAAACGAUGACGGAAACAUAAUUAAUAUAACUUUUUUUGGUACAUUAAGUGCAAUAUGUAACCAUUUGGGUGAUCUGACCAAAUUCCCAUAGAAAUGUGAGUUAUAUACAUCUGUCAUUCUCAUUGAAAGCAAGACAAACAAGCGGUAGAUCUGUUCUACGUGCUCUAUUUCUAUGCUUCCCAUUCUUAAGUUUAAUUUCAGCGUCUUUUACAUUCGGUUUUGUACACCAGCUUUAAACCUGCUGAAAAUACAAUAUUUAUGGUUAUGGAAAAUAUAUUUAGCAGCUGUUUAGAUUAAACAUUGAUUCUCUACACAACACUUGCUUGUUAUGUCACACAAACUGAAAUGAGAAUUUUAGGCUCUUGAUCUCUGCUG
rnacentral:lncRNA from 1 species